UACGGAGGAUGCAAGCGUUAUCCGGAAUGAUUGGGCGUAAAGCGUCCGCAGGCGGCUGUGUAAGUCUGCUGUUAAAGAGUGAGGCUCAACCUCAUAAAAGCAGUGGAAACUACACGGCUAGAGUGCGUUCGGGGCAGAGGGAAUUCCUGGUGUAGCGGUGAAAUGCGUAGAUAUCAGGAAGAACACCGGUGGCGAAAGCGCUCUGCUAGGCCGCAACUGACACUGAGGGACGAAAGCUAGGGGAGCGAAUGGG
rnacentral:rRNA from 1 species